rnacentral:rRNA from 1 species
CAGUCACGUUGGCUAGGAAUCAGCCUCGCUUUUGCGUGGUGUACUUUCUAGUUGACGGGUCAGCAUCAAUUUUGACUGCUGGAAAAUGACCGGAGGAAUGUAGCUUCGAUCUCGUGUUGAAGUGUUAUAGCCUUUGGUAGAUGUAAUGGUCAAGAUCGAGGAUUGCAACGAAUACCCUUCGGGCUAUCCGUCUGAUCUCUGAUACGUGCCUUGGUAACGAAGCUUGCUUACGGUAUCGAGGUAUUACGGUACAAAAGGUUGAACGUGAUUACAUUCG